ACUUCCGGAAGUACUCCUGGAUCAGGAACGUGGCGUAGAACUUGCCAACGGUGACCUCAUCAUCUGGGACGUAUGGAGAGGGGAGAGGGGGAAUACAACUGCUGUGUAAAUUGAGGAAAACUAUACUUUGGAUUAUUUAAACUUGGCCAAGAGAGGUUCGCAUUUUGGAAAACUGUAUUCCUGAUGGCAAUGCUCUUUAUGGUGUGUGGGUCACUCACCAGAGAAGCUUGUUUGGCUUGGUACUGGACUUGGGAUGAGAGCUCUUCCUUCUAUGUUCCAAGAGAGAAGCUUGUUUGGCUUGGUACUGGACUUGGGAUGAGAGCUCUUCCUUCUAUGUUCCAAGAGAGAAGCUUGUUUGGCUUGGUACUGGACUUGGGAUGACAGCUCUGCUUCUCUGAGGGCCGUCCUGACCAGGGCAAACAGAGUGGCAUUGAACAUGACUGUCCCGUCGCUGUUCAGAGGCAUGUUCAUGGAGACCAGGCGCUGCAGGCGAAGAGAAGCAAAGCUGGUGAUGAUGGCAGGCGGUGCUUAGGGGACCGCAGAACACCGUGGCAGAGUGAUAUGGUUUGGAUCUGUGUCCUCGCCCAAAUCUCAUGUUGAAUUGUAAUCCCCAGAACUGGAGGUGGGGCCUGAUGGAAGGUGAUUGCAUCAUGGGGUGGAUUUCUCAUAAAUGGUUUGGUACCAUCCCCUUGGUGAGUGAGUUCUCAUGAGAUCUGCUUGUUUAAGUGUGUGGUCCCUCCCCCUUCUCUCUUGCUCCCUGUCUUUCCAUGUGAUGCACCUGCCUCCCCUUUGCCUUCCACCAUGACUGGAAGCUUCCUGAGGCCUCCCCAGAAGCAGAAUGCUAGUGCCAUGCUUCCUGUACAGCCUGCUGAACUGUGGGCCAAUUAAACCUGUUUUCUCAUAAA